GUUCCGUUAGCUCAGCUGGUAGAGCAAGAGACUCUUAAUCUCUGGGUCGCGGGUUCGAAUCCCUCACGGAGCACCA
rnacentral:tRNA from 1 species